AUAUUAUGAGGUUAUCCCUCCUAAGUUUGAUGAGCUUCUGAAGUUAGUGCUACUAAUUAAAAAACAGGACACUAAAAUGAGAAAAGCAAUAUUAUGCCGAACAAAAUUCAAAUCAUUUUAAGAUACGUUGCAAGUGGAGACAAUUCGAAAUCACUUUAAUAUUUGUUCAGAGUACCACAUAAUACGAUUUCUACAUUUUUACCUUAUGUGCUAACUGCUAUAUGUGAAGUACUGGAUCCAUUUUUAAAGGUUCCUAACACAGAGAAUUAAUGGAUCCAAAUUCAGCAAGUUUUUGAAACAACCUGGAACUUCCCUAAUUGUUGUGGUGCUCUAGAUGGUAAACAUGUGCCUGCAAAUUAAAAGACCAAACAAUUCAACGUCAAUGUUCUAUAACUACAAAGGAACGUACAGUAUUGUGCUGUUUGUUUUAGUUGACGGAGAUUACUGCUUUCGUUAUAUUGAUGUUAGUAGAGUAAGUGAAGGUAGAGCUAGUGACAGCACAAUUUUUCAAAAAUCUACAUUACAUAGUGCUUUGGAGCAAAAUUUGCUAAACUACCCAAAAGGAGAUGUUAUUGUGGGUGAUAACAUUUUUCCAUUAGGCUCAAACUUGUUGUCGAGGGCUAGAAGAUUAAUCGAGAACGCUUUCGGUAUUUUACCUUCGAGGUUUAGAGUGUUUAGCAACUGUCUGCAACUGCCCCCCUGGAUCUGUGGAUUAGGAAGACACAACGACAGAUGAUUUUACCCCUGGCUCAUGGAGAGAAGUUCCAACUGCGUUACAUAGAAUAAACAGGCAGUACAAAUCGAACAAUUAUUCUGCAGACGGGGACGAUGUCCGUCGAGCUUAUGAACAUGCUUUUGUGACUCAUAUGGCAGGAAAAAUAUUGUUAUAUAAGAAAAUCCAAUGUUACUUACAAUUAAGUGCAAACAAUAUACAUUACUACAUUGUAAAAUUAACAUCUGUUUACAUUUAUGUGGUUUUUUACUUACCAGGUUUGAUAAUGACUGCCUUCCAAAUAUAACUUGGUUCCAAAAAGCAUCAGCUGUAGUGAACCAUAAUAAUUUAGGCUUUAUACAUCAUCCACGCGGGCCCCUCUUCUUCUACUUUUUUUAAUUUUAUUCAACUCAUUCCUGUAUGUAUACGUCGCGAAUUUUAAUUUUCUUUUUUAGGGCUUCUUCCCGCGCUGGUAACCCACUAUCUUGAAGCUGAGUGAUUAGUUCAGCAGAAGCAAUUAUUUUUGCUUCCCGGUUUAAGUAAUCGGAUGAUUUCGUGUUCCACAAACAUUCAUAUUUUCUAUUUAUGUCGAGAAAUGUUAUUAUUUCAUUACCGGACCACUUAAGGUCACUUAGCAUGUGGUUGCGUUGAGCUGCCGCCAAGGCCAAGACACUGCUACUGCGAUGUCAUAUCGGUGACAUACUUGCCGCUACUAGGUCACAUGACCGCUCAAGGCUGCUACUAGCGCCAAAAAGUUGAACAUGUCCAUCUAGUAGCCGCUACUACCUAUGUUAGACUACGCUACUAACUAGCGGCUAGCUUAGUAGCCUAAUGUGACACAUUCUUUAUUAUAAUGAACAGUAGUGCUACAUUUGACACAGAAUUAAUUAGUUACAUUGUGAAUAGGUACUUUGAAAUACUACACAAACAGGUUUAAAUACAAAUUCUUUGUUUUUGCAAUUGCAUAAUUCAAAGAAGUUUUGUACUCUCAUUAGGAUUAUUCUUCAAGUAAUCAUUAAAUAUUGUUAUCAAAUUAUGAACUUUAUGUAUCUUAUUGAAUUUUAUAAUAAAACAAAACUGUUCUGCUUAGGAGUUGGAAUAUCUGAAAUUUUUUCCAAAUCGUUUUGUAAUAUUAUAAUAAAGUGCAUCAGGGUGAUUACUGCAAGGUUAGUCAUAUUACCAGUUGAAAAAAGGUGUAAUUUAAAUAAAAAAAAACAUAAUUAUUUAAUUGAUUGUAGAUAAAUUUUUGUGAUUUUAUUUAGGAUGUAUUAUAUCAAGCAAUAUCUUUUUAGGGAGUUAGUAGUCUAUAUAUUUACAUGUGUAUUUUUCCCGAAAACCACAUUGCACUGUAGUAUAGUGAAAUUUUGUAUUGAUCUAUAACGUGCAUGGUAUUAAAUAUAAAAUAAAACUUGUGUAUUCCAGAAAUAGGUCUCAAACUGUUUGCAUUGAGCUCUGCCAUUAAAUAAUAAGUAGCUAUUUUGUACAAACAUAUUUUUUUCAUUUAAAAUACUAAAGUAACCAAAAGUACCACCCUUUUACACCAGCUUAAUUUGAAAAAGUAAUCCCAUUGUCUAAAUUUUAUGUAUAUUCAACUCAGUUUUGUUGCCGUUACUUGUAACUAUCUUUAGUUUAAAAUCAAACUUGUAAUUGUUACCUAAAAUGUUGCCUAUUGUAUCUUAAAAUUGUACAUAUUUGAAUUUAUACUCAAAUUGUUUAAUAAACAUACAAACAACCAAAAAGAA